rnacentral:rRNA from 1 species
UAAGCCAUGCAAGUCGAACGAGUUUAGGCUCGUGGCGUACGGCUCAGUAACACGUGGAUAACCUACCCUUAGGACCGGGAUAACCUUGGGAAACUGAGGACAAUACUGGAUAGGCAAUUUUUCCUGUAAUGGUUUUUUGUUUAAAUGUUUUUUCGCCUAAGGAUGGGUCUGCGGCCGAUUAGGUAGUUGGUUAGGUAAUGGCUUACCAAGCCGUUGAUCGGUACGGGUUGUGAGAGCAAGAGCCCGGAGAUGGAACCUGAGACAAGGUUCCAGGCCCUACGGGGUGCAGCAGGCGCGAAACCUCCGCAAUGUGAGAAAUCGCGACGGGGGGAUCCCAAGUGCCAUUCUUAACGGGAUGGCUUUUCAUUAGUGUAAAAAGCUUUUGGAAUAAGAGCUGGGCAAGACCGGUGCCAGCCGCCGCGGUAACACCGGCAGCUCUAGUGGUAGCAAUUUUUAUUGGGCCUAAAGCGUCCGUAGCCGGUUUAAUAAGUCUCUGGUGAAAUCCUGUAGCUUAACUGUGGGAAUUGCUGGAGAUACUAUUAGACUUGAGACCGGGAGAGGUUAGAGGUACUCCCAGGGUAGAGGUGAAAUUCUGUAAUCCUGGGAGGACCGCCUGUUGCGAAGGCGUCUAACUGGAACGGUUCUGACGGUGAGGGACGAAAGUUAGGGGCGCGAACCGGAUUAGAUACCCGGGUAGUCCUAACUGUAAACGAUGCGGACUUGGUGUUGGGGUGGCUUUGAGCUGCUCCAGUGCCGAAGGGAAGCUGUUAAGUCCGCCGCCUGGGAAGUACGGUCGCAAGACUGAAACUUAAAGGAAUUGGCGGGGGAGCACCACAACGCGUGGAGCCUGCGGUUUAAUUGGAUUCAACGCCGGACAUCUCACCAGAGGCGACAGCUGUAUGAUAGCCAGGUUGAUGACUUUGCUUGACUAGCUGAGAGGUGGUGCAUGGCCAUC